CCCUUAGAUGCCCUGGGCCGCACGCGCGUUACACUGAUGCAUUCAACGAGCUUAUAACCUUGGCCGAGAGGCCUGGGCAAUCUUGUUAACGUGCAUCGUGAUAGGGAUAGAUUAUUGAAAUUAUUAAUCUUGAACGAGGAAUUCCUAGUAAACGCAGAUCAUCAAUCUGCAUUGAUUACGUCCCUGCCCUUUGUACACACCGCCCGUCGCACCUACCGAUUGGAUGGUCCGGUGAAGCCUCGGGAUUGUGGUUCUUGCCGCUUUAUUGUGGCGUGACCGCGAGAACUUGUCUAAACCUUAUCAUCUAGAGGAAGGUGAAGUCGUAACA
rnacentral:rRNA from 1 species